ACUCAAAGGAAUAGACGGGGGCUCACACAAGCGGUGGAGCAUGUGGCUCAAUUCGAGGCUACGCGAAGAACCUUAUCCUGGACUUGACAUGUGCGAAAGCGCUAGGGAGUAGGGAGCGGAAACGUUUCCCCAACGGUAUCCAGUCCGGAACCUAGUACAGGUGCUGCAUGGCUGUCGUCAGCUCGUGUCGUGAGAUGUCGGGUUAAGUCCCAUAACGAGCGAAACCCUUGUUUCCAGUUGCCAGCGGGUCAAGCCGGGGACUCUGGAAAGACUGCCGGUGUUAAACCGGAGGAAGGUGGGGAUGACGUCAAGUCCUCAUGGCCUUUAUGUCCAGGGCUGCACACGUGCUACAAUGGCGCAUACAAAGGGACGCCAACGCGCGAGCGGGAGCAAAUCCCAAAAAAUGCGCCCCAGUUCAGAUUGCAGGCUGCAACUCGCCUGCAUGAAGUUGGAAUCGCUAGUAAUCGCAGGUCAGCAACACUGCGGUGAAUGUGUUCCUGAGCCUUGCACACACCGCCCGU
rnacentral:rRNA from 1 species